rnacentral:misc_RNA from 1 species
AAGUCGUAACAAGGUUUCCGUAGGUGAACCUGCGGAAGGAUCAUUACAAAUCAUUAUUAGUGGGGGAGAGCGGGGAGGGGGAAGGUUGCUGCUGUUGUAGGGAGCGGUCUUAAAAAGCUGCUGCCUGCGGCGUCGUCGCGCCUCUCUCUCUCCUCUCCUCUUACGUUUGCGCGUGUCGUGUUUGACAGAGUAAUAUGUACCAUUAAAUUAUAGACAACUUUUAACAAUGGAUCUCUUGGCUCUU